rnacentral:rRNA from 1 species
GACAGAGGCCCCAAGCGUUAGGCGGAAUCACUGGGCUUAAAGCGUGUGUAGGCGGAUCGUUAAGUGUCUUGUGAAAUCCCACGGCUCACCCGUGGAACGGCUGGGCAUACUGGCGAUCUUGGGCCAACUAGGGGCAGUCGGAACAAGCGGUGGAGCGGUGAAAUGCGUAGAUAUCGCUUGGAACGCCGAAGGUGAAAACAGACUGCUGGGGUUGCGCCGACGCUGAGACGCGAAAGCCAGGGGAGCAAACGGG